GGGAAGGUGGCUCAGUGGUACAGUGCUUGCCUCGCAUGCAUGGGGCCCUGGGUUCGAUUCCCUCUGUACCA
rfam:Dipodomys ordii contig_57622, whole genome shotgun sequence.